rnacentral:rRNA from 1 species
CCCCAAUGGACGAAAGUCUGAGGGAGCGACGCCGCGUGAAUGAAGAAGCCCUUCGGGGUGUAAAAUUCUUUUCUUUAGGAAAAUUCGUGAUGGUACUAAAGGAAUAAGGGGCCGCCAAACUCGUGCCAGCAGCGGCGGUAAUACGAGUGCCCCGAGCGUUAUCCGGAAUUACUGGGCGUAAAGCGCUAAAAGGGCGGUUUGAUAAGUCAGACGUCAAAUCUCCGAGCUCAACUCGGAGCCGGUGUCUGAAACUGGUCUAACUUGAGGACGGAAGAGGCAAGCGGAAUGGCUGGUGUAGCAGUAAAAUGCGUUAAUAUCAGGCUAGAACACCAAUGGC